GAGGUUGUAGCUCAGUGCGAGAGUGCAUGCCUAGCAUGUGUGAGGCACUGGGUUCGAUUCUCAGCACCACG
rnacentral:tRNA from 1 species